rnacentral:rRNA from 1 species
UACAGAGGUCUCGAGCGUUGUUCGGAUUCAUUGGGCGUAAAGGGUGCGUAGGCGGCGAGGUAAGUCGGAUGUGAAAUCCCGGGGCUCAACCCCGGAACUGCAUUCGAUACUGCUUUGCUUGAGUACUGGAGAGGAGACUGGAAUUUACGGUGUAGCAGUGAAAUGCGUAGAUAUCGUAAGGAAGACCAGUGGCGAAGGCGAGUCUCUGGACAGUUACUGACGCUGAGGCACGAAGGCCAGGGGAGCAAACGGG